GGUUAAGCGACUAAGCGUACACGGUGGAUGCCCUGGCAGUCAGAGGCGAUGAAGGACGUGCUAAUCUGCGAAAAGCGUCGGUAAGGUGAUAUGAACCGUUAUAACCGGCGAUGUCCGAAUGGGGAAACCCAGUGUGAUUCGUCACACUAUCGUUAACUGAAUACAUAGGUUAACGAGGCGAACCGGGGGAACUGAAACAUCUAAGUACCCCGAGGAAAAGAAAUCAACCGAGAUUCCCCCAGUAGCGGCGAGCGAACGGGGAGCAGCCCAGAGUCUGAAUCAGCUUGUGUGUUAGUGGAACGGUCUGGAAAGUCCGACGGUACAGGGUGAUAGUCCCGUACACCAAAAUGCACAGGCUGUGAACUCGAAGAGUAGGGCGGGACACGUGGUAUCCUGUCUGAAUAUGGGGGGACCAUCCUCCAAGGCUAAAUACUCCUGACUGACCGAUAGUGAACCAGUACCGUGAGGGAAAGGCGAAAAGAACCCCGGCGAGGGGAGUGAAAAAGAACCUGAAACCGUGUACGUACAAGCAGUGGGAGCACCUUCGGGUGUGACUGCGUACCUUUUGUAUAAUGGGUCAGCGACUUAUAUUCUGUAGCAAGGUUAACCGUAUAGGGGAGCCGCAGGGAAACCGAGUCUUAACUGGGCGUUAAGUUGCAGGGUAUAGACCCGAAACCCGGUGAUCUAGCCAUGGGCAGGUUGAAGGUUGGGUAACACUAACUGGAGGACCGAACCGACUAAUGUUGAAAAAUUAGCGGAUGACUUGUGGCUGGGGGUGAAAGGCCAAUCAAACCGGGAGAUAGCUGGUUCUCCCCGAAAGCUAUUUAGGUAGCGCCUCGUGAACUCAUCUUCGGGGGUAGAGCACUGUUUCGGCUAGGGGGUCAUCCCGACUUACCAACCCGAUGCAAACUACGAAUACCGAAGAAUGUUAUCACGGGAGACACACGGCGGGUGCUAACGUCCGUCGUGAAGAGGGAAACAACCCAGACCGCCAGCUAAGGUCCCAAAGUCAUGGUUAAGUGGGAAACGAUGUGGGAAGGCACAGACAGCCAGGAUGUUGGCUUAGAAGCAGCCAUCAUUUAAAGAAAGCGUAAUAGCUCACUGGUCGAGUCGGCCUGCGCGGAAGAUGUAACGGGGCUAAACCAUGCACCGAAGCUGCGGCAGCGACACUAUGUGUUGUUGGGUAGGGGAGCGUUCUGUAAGCCUGCGAAGGUGUGCUGUGAGGCAUGCUGGAGGUAUCAGAAGUGCGAAUGCUGACAUAAGUAACGAUAAAGCGGGUGAAAAGCCCGCUCGCCGGAAGACCAAGGGUUCCUGUCCAACGUUAAUCGGGGCAGGGUGAGUCGACCCCUAAGGCGAGGCCGAAAGGCGUAGUCGAUGGGAAACAGGUUAAUAUUCCUGUACUUGGUGUUACUGCGAAGGGGGGACGGAGAAGGCUAUGUUAGCCGGGCGACGGUUGUCCCGGUUUAAGCAUGUAGGCUGGUUGUCCAGGCAAAUCCGGAUAAUCAAGGCUGAGGUGUGAUGACGAGGCACUACGGUGCUGAAGUAACAAAUGCCCUGCUUCCAGGAAAAGCCUCUAAGCAUCAGGUAACAUCAAAUCGUACCCCAAACCGACACAGGUGGUCAGGUAGAGAAUACCAAGGCGCUUGAGAGAACUCGGGUGAAGGAACUAGGCAAAAUGGUGCCGUAACUUCGGGAGAAGGCACGCUGGUGUGUAGGUGAAGUCCCUGCGGAUGGAGCUGAGACCAGUCGAAGAUACCAGCUGGCUGCAACUGUUUAUUAAAAACACAGCACUGUGCAAACACGAAAGUGGACGUAUACGGUGUGACGCCUGCCCGGUGCCGGAAGGUUAAUUGAUGGGGUUAUCCGUAAGGAGAAGCUCUUGAUCGAAGCCCCGGUAAACGGCGGCCGUAACUAUAACGGUCCUAAGGUAGCGAAAUUCCUUGUCGGGUAAGUUCCGACCUGCACGAAUGGCGUAAUGAUGGCCAGGCUGUCUCCACCCGAGACUCAGUGAAAUUGAACUCGCUGUGAAGAUGCAGUGUACCCGCGGCAAGACGGAAAGACCCCGUGAACCUUUACUAUAGCUUGACACUGAACAUUGAGCCUUGAUGUGUAGGAUAGGUGGGAGGCUUUGAAGCGUGGACGCCAGUCUGCGUGGAGCCAACCUUGAAAUACCACCCUUUAAUGUUUGAUGUUCUAACGUUGGCCCCUUACCGGGGUUGCGGACAGUGUCUGGUGGGUAGUUUGACUGGGGCGGUCUCCUCCCAAAGCGUAACGGAGGAGCACGAAGGUUAGCUAAUCCUGGUCGGACAUCAGGAGGUUAGUGCAAUGGCAUAAGCUAGCUUGACUGCGAGCGUGACGGCGCGAGCAGGUGCGAAAGCAGGUCAUAGUGAUCCGGUGGUUCUGAAUGGAAGGGCCAUCGCUCAACGGAUAAAAGGUACUCCGGGGAUAACAGGCUGAUACCGCCCAAGAGUUCAUAUCGACGGCGGUGUUUGGCACCUCGAUGUCGGCUCAUCACAUCCUGGGGCUGAAGUAGGUCCCAAGGGUAUGGCUGUUCGCCAUUUAAAGUGGUACGCGAGCUGGGUUUAGAACGUCGUGAGACAGUUCGGUCCCUAUCUGCCGUGGGCGCUGGAGAAUUGAGGGGGGCUGCUCCUAGUACGAGAGGACCGGAGUGGACGCAUCACUGGUGUUCGGGUUGUCAUGCCAAUGGCACUGCCCGGUAGCUAAAUGCGGAAGAGAUAAGUGCUGAAAGCAUCUAAGCACGAAACUUGCCCCGAGAUGAGUUCUCCCUGAGACUUUAAGUCUCCUGAAGGAACGUUGAAGACGACGACGUUGAUAGGCCGGGUGUGUAAGCGCAGCGAUGCGUUGAGCUAACCGGUACUAAUGAACCGUGAGGCUUAACCUU
rnacentral:rRNA from 1 species